rnacentral:sRNA from 1 species
UGCCAGAAAAUUACAUAUGCAACGUUGU